GGAGGCUUUGCGCAGCCUGCGUUUCAUCGGGUGUUCCAGAUAUGACGAUAAGCCGAUCGCUCGUUAUGGGAUCGGGUUCGUGCACUAUCACCUUCGCACCGGAGAUCUGUCUUAGACGGGUUAAAUUUGUGCCAUUCUCUCCAUAUACUAAACUUAUGACAUCGUCAGGAACUACAAUUUCGACCGUCGUGUUCGUCACUAUAGCAGUUUUGCUCCCACUGCCAAGUUGUACUCCG
rnacentral:misc_RNA from 1 species